rnacentral:rRNA from 1 species
AUAUCAAUAAGCGGAGGAAAAGAAACCAACAGGGAUUGCCUCAGUAACGGCGAGUGAAGCGGCAACAGCUCAAAUUUGAAAUCUGGGUCUUUCAGGCUCCGAGUUGUAAUUUGUAGAAGAUGCUUCGGGUGUGGCUCCGGUCUAAGUUCCUUGGAACAGGACGUCAUAGAGGGUGAGAAUCCCGUACGUGACUGGUUGCCUUCGCUCAUGUGAAGCUCUUUCGACGAGUCGAGUUGUUUGGGAAUGCAGCUCAAAAUGGGUGGUAAAUUUCAUCUAAAGCUAAAUAUUGGCCAGAGACCGAUAGCGCACAAGUAGAGUGAUCGAAAGAUGAAAAGCACUUUGGAAAGAGAGUUAAACAGUACGUGAAAUUGUUGAAAGGGAAGCGCUUGCAACCAGACUUGCACGCUGCUGAUCAUCCGGGGUUCUCCCCGGCGCACUCGGUUGCGUUCAGGCCAGCAUCGGUUUGGGUGGUUGGAUAAAGGCCUUGGGAAUGUAGCUUCUUUCGGGGAGUGUUAUAGCCCUCGGUGCAAUGCAGCCUACCCGGACCGAGGACCGCGCUUCGGCUAGGAUGCUGGCGUAAUGGUUGUAAGCGA